UCACAAUCUAACUCCUUCAAGGCCCAACGUCCUCGCUAAUUGUAGUUUCUCUCUCAAAUCGACGUGGGAUCUCAUAAAAAUUGUAAUGGGUAGGUCGGAUAAUUUAAGGUUAGAAAUAAACGCACGGAGUCUUGUUAGUAUAAAGCGAAAGUAGAGACACCCAAUUUUGUUAUAAAGGAGGAAGGAAAGAAGAGAUGAAAUGUGUGUGUGUGAGAGAGAGAGAGAGAGAGAGAGAGAGAGAGAGAGAAGGUGCAUGAAGAGCAAGAUGGAGAAGCAGGGCACGUGCUGUGCUAACUCAAUUCAGUUCAAUUCAGAUCUGUUGGGGUUUUUGAGUUAGUUCUUCAUGUGCCCCUCUUCGCCAUCGUGACCACUGCGCCUUAAUUAAUCAACCCUCUGCUGCUUCUGCUUCUUCAUUGUUCAGAGAGCUACAAAUGUGCAAUGUGGGUUCAAAAAGGCAGCUGAAAUUGAAGUUCCAACAUCAUCUUUAUGUCGAUUCUAGUUUCCUU